rnacentral:misc_RNA from 1 species
GGAAGCCCCAGUGCCUGAGCCUAUCUCUUUGGCGUAUAUGAAAGCCUUGCUCUCCCUUAAAGCAUCCCACAAUAUCUCGUGCGGACAGCACGCACAGCAGAGACCCAUCAUUCUGUAGAUCAUCUAUUUUCUACAUUCUAAGGUUUGUUUGCUCUACAAACAUGUCCCAAUACCAGGGGGAUGAAAUGGAUUACAUGGCGGAUGAUUUCGAGAUGGCAGAAGUGGAUGAUGAUGUGUAUUUCCGGGGUAGAUUCAUGGGUGAUUCAGAGUCUGAUGAUGAUGACGACGAAUAUGAUCAUUUGGACAAUAAGAUUACAGAUACAUCUGCAGCAGAUGCUAGGAGAGGAAAGGAUAUCCAGGGAAUUCCUUGGGAGAGACUGAGCAUUUCCCGUGAGAAGUACAGACAGACUAGGCUAGAGCAAUACAAGAACUACGAAAACAUCCCUCAAUCAGGAGAAGGUUCAGAAAAGGAAUGCAAACCAACAAAGAAAGGGGGAGUGUAUUAUGAUUUUUGGCGUAAUACAAGAUCAGUGACAUCAACUAUCCUUCAUUUUCAAUUGCGGAACUUGGUUUGGUCAACCACAAAACAUGAUGUCUACCUUAUGUCACAUUUCUCCAUUGUUCACUGGUCAUCUUUAAAUUGCAAGAAGAUUGAAGUUCUUAAUGUUUCCGGGCAUGUGGCACCAUGCGAGAAACACCCUGGGAGCCUCUUGGAAGGAUUUACUCAAACUCAAGUUAGUACACUGGCAGUACGUGAUAAGUUGUUGAUUGCUGGAGGGUUCCAGGGAGAACUUAUUUGUAAGCAUUUAGAUCGACCAGGAAUUAGCUUCUGUUACAGGACAACUUAUGAGGAUAAUGCAAUCACAAAUGCAGUUGAGAUUUAUGAUUAUGCCAGUGGUGCAGUUCAUUUCAUGGCUUCAAAUAAUGACUCUGGAGUUAGAGAUUUUGACAUGGAGAAAUUCCAGCUUACCAAGCAUUUUAGCUUCCCUUGGCCAGUGAAUGUGAGUAUCCUUUCUGUAUUUCUAUGGCUUUGCGGGUUCUGAGCUUGUUCAUGGGUAUACUUGCAAUUGAGUGUUGUUUAUUAUUUUUGGGGUUCUUUGUUGAAAUAAUAAAGUUUUGAAGCCAGGUUUGCUCAUACUUAGUUGUUGUAAUUACUUCUUAUUGUCUUUUAUUUAACGCUUUAAAUGCACUUAAUUUCACCUCAUGUCAUGCCAGUGUCAUACUUCAUGUUGAUCUAAUCUAUUCUGUCUUUCUCUUUCUUCUAGUCAUUCCACGUAGAGAAUAACAAUCACAGAACAAUAUAAUCAUUCAAGAAAUUCUAUUGGGGUGAAUAUGCCCAAUAAAUGUGAGGGCGUGAAUCUGUGAUUUUCAGUCGGCAUUCUGUUCAAAGACUGAUGUAGGAGAGUAGUGUGGUAACAAGGCUAGAACAUGUUUAAACCUUAAACAUAUUUGAAUCCACAAGCAGAUUCUGGAGUGCACCGGAGAGUAAGGAACUGAAAUUAUAUUUAAAUUGACUAUCUCCCUCAACAAUUACAUGCUUAUUUAUAAAAAUGGAAAUCCUAGUUUUACUUGGACAAGUUUACUAAAAUAAGAAUAAUAAGAACUCUAGAAAUACUUGAGUCUGAGGAAAUAAAGCCGAAAUGAAUAAGAAAAAUAAAUAUACGUAAAUGCUAUUAAAAUAAAUUGGACCCCUCCACUCGAUGAAAACUUGUACUUGAGUUUAUAGCUUAAAAUUGUAAUCUCCUAUGCCAAAGAAAUAAUUCCUUCUAAUAUUUUUGUGCCUUUAAUGUCCUUACUAAGUAACUUACCAGAAACAAUUUUGCUUGAACUUUCGUCUGAUUGUAAUAGAGCCAUUAAUGGAGUAGUAGUGGAUUUAAACUAAUUAACCCCAAUAAGAUCAAUAUACUGAACUCACUAAAAAUAUGAUCAUGGGUCCUAUGGGCUAUGGGCUUGCCUUGAAAUUCAACUCUUUGAUUCCAAUAGUUCACCCUUGCCAUUCUUCGUACUAUCAUUAUGAUUACAAAAUAAUUACACCACCUUUUCCUCGAUGUCUUUCCAAUUUCUGAACUACAAUAAUUUCUAUGUCUUUCUUUAGCUUUUAAUUCUUGAUCACUGUUUACAUCACAGGCUCUUGACAUUUCUUUAAAUACAACCCAUUGCAACACUCAGGCUUCUACAUCUUAAGGAAUGUCCAUGUCCUCCUUUACCACGUCAAUUGCAUGCAGUUGUUCACUUCAUCAAUUUUAAUUUAUUCAGCAAAUUUAUUUAGACUUAUACUUGCACCUUUCCCCAGACCUUUUUUUUUUGUGAUAGUGAGACUUGAAAAACUUGCUGCAAUUUUUGGAGGCCAUUAUUUUCUUCAUUUUUGCUAUUUUGAAAUUAGAAUGGAUUCUCGUCCAAAAAUUUUGAAAAUUCCAUAAAUUUUCCAUAGUAUAUAUCCAGCUUUUUUACUAAAAUAAAAUUUUCUUCAUAAUAAUUACAAUAAAAUUCAAUCACUAAUAAGUUUCAAGUCAUGAUGUGACUGGACUGAACUUGGGGCUGAUCCCUUUAUAUGUUGAUUAGGUGGAGCUGAGCUCAGCUGACUGCCUGCGAUUCUUAUACUGAACCUUUAUGAUUUUAUGAUGUGGGCAUAUACCGCUUGUCAUAUUUGGACUAACAAACAAGCAUGUUCUCUAUUUUAGGGUUCAGUAUGUCAUUUUGUGUCAUUUCUGUUUGCAGCACACCUCAUUGAGUCCUGAUGGUAAGCUUCUUACUAUUGUUGGUGACAACCCAGAAGGAUUACUAGUAGAUUCUCAAACAGGAAAGACCAUUACGCCUUUGUGUGGACAUUUGGAUUUCUCAUUUGCAUCUGCUUGGCAUCCUGAUGGCCGCAUCUUCGCCACUGGGAAUCAAGACAAGACAUGUCGUAUUUGGGAUGCUAGAAACUUGUCAAAAUCUGUAGCUGUGCUCAAGGGCAACUUAGGAGCCAUUAGAUCAAUUCGGUUUACAUCUGAUGGGCAAUUCAUGGCUAUGGCAGAGCCAGCUGAUUUUGUGCAUGUCUAUGAUGUAAAGAAUGGAUUUGACAAAGAGCAGGAGAUUGAUUUUUUUGGGGAAAUCUCUGGUGUGUCUUUUAGCCCUGAUACAGAAUCCCUCUUCAUAGGAGUGUGGGAUCGUACCUAUGGAAGCCUCCUUCAGUAUAACCGAUGCAGGAAUUAUGCAUAUCUCGACGUCUUUCUGUGAUUUAACACGUAUAUCUAGUUGUGAGUUUGCGCUGGCAAUUUGCAUGCAUGUCCUAUGAAUGUGAGGAUGUUGGAUCCAACAUUAUUGUAAGUGAACGAAGGUGACAUACCUCAUGUUACGUUCAGUAGAAGAGGGGCUGAGAAAGAGAAUGCAAUUUCAGUUGUUUCCUGUUAUAGUGCAUGUUUGAAUAAUGCUGGCGGUAGGAGGGAAGGAACUUGGAAGGCUGGACAUGGGGUGUAAGUUUUAGUCAGGCUUGUAAAAUAAUGGAUAGAAUGUAGGGAGGCUUGGGAGUGUAUUUGGUUAGGAGAACUGAUCACAGCAUAACUAAGACUCGGGGUCAUUAAUGUUAAUAACAUCCCCCCUUUUCCCAUCUUUUGUCUUCCCCCCCUUACCCACCAAAACUUUUUCUUCUCUCAAUCAUGAGGCAGAAUGAAAAUGUGUUGCUUGCUGUUGAACAGGGUUGUGUGCUUCAUGGUUUGAUUGAAUGAUUCAGGAUGACCGGUUUGGUGCACUACUGACUAUUCUAGAAUGUAAGGGUUCCGACUUCCCAAAAUGAAACAUUUUUGUUUUUAAAAUAUAUGGGAAAAUGUGUUGAAGUCCUUAAAUUGUUAUAUCGAGUUACUAAAAAAUUAAAUUUA